rnacentral:tRNA from 1 species
GGGGAUAUAGCUCAGUUGGUAGAGUACUUGCCUCACAUGCACAAGACCCUGGGUUCAAUCCCCAAUACCA